rnacentral:lncRNA from 1 species
AUGUUGAUCCAGAAAGGAAAUAUACUUUUAUCACUAAAUCUUGAAGGGAUUUACCUCAAUUUCUACUUAACCUACUUUUAUUUAAAGAAGAGAACUUCAUAUUGGUCAUGUGAUAUUUACCCAAGUCACAGGUAUCUUAAACUUUGUGUAUUGUGUUUAAGCCCCAAUAACUACAGAAUUUCUUUACUGACCAUUUGUUACAGACAAAACAGCAACGAUUUAUAUCAAACGAGCAAUAGAAAAGGCAAAUGGAAAGAUACAGUGGAUGAUAAAAAGGUGUUAGAGUAAAUAUAAGGGUCUCUGCUCUGGGCUGAUGGUGAUUUGGAAGUGAAGACACAGUCAUGUGAGUUUUAAAGCCACCAAUCAUUAUCAAGAGAAGAAUGAAGUUCAAUGCCUGACAAGAAGAUGUGCUCUGAAGCAGCAUAAUAUUCAAUUUACUUCCAAGGCUACUGAUUUAGGAAGCAAAAAGAGAAUAAGUGGAAUAAUUAAUUUCCUACCUUGAAGGUAAGAUUGCUUAGCGUAUGAGUAUGAGGGUGGGGAACAAUAUGUCUCUUGGGCAUUUAUUCUGGAUUGCAAUUAAAAAAAAACUUUCACAACAUUUAAAACAAAAAUUAUUCUUAAAUGGGCCCAGUUUGGCUUAAGCAACUGGAACUCAUAGGGCACAUUUUUACUCUCUAAGAAGCAAGUGGAGACUUGAAAAGUAUGCAGCAUGUCAUGAAAAGGGAGGGGUGAACUUUGCCCAAGUCUACAGCCAAACCUGAAGUUGGAACCUUUAAGAACAUUUUUUUUCCCCUUCUAGUUUUACUUUCUUUGUAUCCAGUGUCAUUGGGAUCCACCUCUGGGCAGAAGCUGAGAAGCUGGUCGAUGCAAACAAAACCUAUUCAGAGUGUUUCUGACUUCAUUGAAAGUAAGAAGUCCUCAAAAAAAAAGAAUCCUACUUUUUUCACUAGUUUAAAUGCAGUUUUGCAGAACAGGUAGUUGAUAGUAGGAAGAUUGUCUCCAAACCGAAGGUGAACUUCCAAAUGGUUGAAGUUCAUGCAGGAACAGGAAUCCAAGAGGCAGGUUUCACUUAUGUUGCUGAAAAUCACACAAACACACAGAAUUCCGGCUGCUUGCAAUGUAAAUCUUUUCAUAGCAGGAAGAAACACAGUAAUUUGAGCUUGGCUCGUUCCUGAAAUUCUUCUACAUAAUUGAAGAUUAAUUUG